rnacentral:rRNA from 1 species
CAGCAGUAGCCGCGGUAAUACGUAGGGUGCAAGCGUUAAUCGGAAUUACUGGGCGUAAAGCGUGCGCAUGCGGUUUUGUAAGACAGAGGUGAAAUCCCCGGGCUCAACCUGGGAACUGCCUUUGUGACUGCAAGGCUAGAGUACGGCAGAGGGGGAUGGAAUUCCGCGUGUAGCAGUGAAAUGCGUAGAUAUGCGGAGGAACACCGAUGGCGAAGGCAAUCCCCUGGGCCUGUACUGACGCUCAUGCACGAAAGCGUGGGGAGCAAACAGGAUUAGAUACCCGCGUAGUCCCUGUCUCUUAUAA